ACUCAAAGGAAUUGACGGGGGCUCACACAAGCGGUGGAGCAUGUUGCUUAAUUCGAGGCAACGCGAAGAACCUUACCUGGGCUUGACAUGGCCGGAUUAACUCCUGGAAACAGGAGCCACACCCUCUGGGUGGAACGGUCACAGGUGCUGCAUGGCUGUCGUCAGCUCGUGCUGUGAAGUGUCGGGUUAAGUCCCUUAACGAGCGCAACCCCUGUCGUUAGUUGCUCGGCGCAAGCCAGUACUCUAGCGAGACUGCCGGUGUCAAACCGGAGGAAGGUGGGGAUGACGUCAAGUCCUCAUGGCCCUUACGCUCAGGGUUGCAAACGUGCUACAAUGGCGCGCACAAAGCGAUGCAAGAUCGCAAGAUGGAGCAAAUCGCAAAAAACGCGCCCCAGUUCGGAUUGCAGGCUGCAACUCGCCUGCAUGAAGUCGGAAUCGCUAGUAAUCGCGGAUCAGCUACGCCGCGGUGAAUGUGUUCCUGAGCCUUGUACACACCGCCCGU
rnacentral:rRNA from 1 species